rnacentral:rRNA from 1 species
CUGGGCGUAAAGACGCAUGCAGGUGGUUUGGUUUAAGUUACAGAUGUGAAGACCCGGGGCCGCAACCUCGGAAUAGCAUUUGAAACUGGCAGACUAGAGUACUGUAGAGGGGGGUAGGAAUUUCAGGUGUAGCGGUGAAAUGCGUAGAGAUCUGAAGGAAUACCGGUGGCGAAGGCGGCCCCCUGGACAGAUACUGACACUCAGAUGCGAAAGCGUGGGGAGCAAACAGGAUUAGAUACCCUGGUAG